rnacentral:rRNA from 1 species
GAGACUCUGUGCGCGUGCAUAUCAAUAAGCGGAGGAAAAGAAACUAACAAGGAUUCCCUUAGUAACGGCGAGUGAGGCGGGGAGAGCUCAAAUUUGAAAUCUUCAAGGUUCUACCUUGACGAAUUGUAGUUUAUAGAAGUGUUUUCUGUUAGUAGAGUGGCAAAAGUUCUUUGGAAUAGGACAUCAUAGAGGGUGAGAAUCCCGUAUUUGGUCAUUCUUUCUAGCUUUGUGAUACACUUUCAACGAGUCGGAUUGUUUGGGAAUGCAGUCCAAAAUGGGUGGUAAAUUUCAUCUAAAGCUAAAUAUUGGCGAGAGACCGAUAGCGAACAAGUACCGUGAGGGAAAGAUGAAAAGAACUUUGAAAAGAGAGUUAAACAGUACGUGAAAUUGUCAAAAGGGAAGCGUUUGACACCAGUGUUGUUUUUCCGAAAAUCAAUUACGAAUGUUUUAUUUUUGAGGAGUUAUGACUUCAUCGGCUUGCUCCUUUCUUUAUGAAACUUUCUUAAUGCACUUUCGGUUAACAAGUCAACAUCAAUUUCUUUUGUUGUAAAAGGGUAUGAGGAAGGUGGCUUUCUUUUCGGAGAAAGUGUUUAUAGCCUUGUGCCUCUGCAAUCGGAGAGAUUGAGGUCUGCAGCGUAGAUCCUUCGGGGUUAGAUACAUUUGUGCUAAGUUACUAGCUUUUCAUAGACAACUUGUUGACUAUGUUAGUCUUGUAGCUUACUCGCUUAUGCUAUUUUACCUACGCUUAGGAUGUUGACGAUCAGCUGAGCGCG